GAUGAAGAACGUAGCGAAAUGCGAUAAGUAGUGUGAAUUGCAGAAUUCAGUGAAUCAUCGAAUCUUUGAACGCACAUUGCGCCCCUUGGUAUUCCAUGGGGCAUGCCUGUUCGAGCGUCAUUUGUACUUUCAAGCUUUGCUUGGUGUUGGGUGUUUGUCUCGCCUUUGCGUGUAGACUCGCCUUAAAAUAAUUGGCAGCCGGCGUAUUGAUUUCGGAGCGCAGUACAUCUCGCGCUUUGCACUCAUAACGACAGCGUCCAAAAGUACAUUUUACACUCUUGACCUCGGAUCAGGUAGGGAUACCCGCUGAACUUAAGCAUAUCAAUAAGCGGAGGA
rnacentral:misc_RNA from 1 species